rnacentral:pre_miRNA from 1 species
UCCCUGAGACCCUAACUUGUGAAGCUUUCUAAAAAGAUCGCGAGUUAGAAUCUUGGGCUCU